CCUACGGGCGGCUGCAGUCGAGAAUCAUUCACAAUGGGGGAAACCCUGAUGGUGCGACGCCGCGUGGGGGAAUGAAGGUCUUCGGAUUGUAAACCCCUGUCAUGUGGGAGCAAAUUAAAAAGAUAGUACCACAAGAGGAAGAGACGGCUAACUCUGUGCCAGCAGCCGCGGUAAUACAGAGGUCUCAAGCGUUGUUCGGAAUCACUGGGCGUAAAGCGUGCGUAGGCUGUUUCGUAAGUCGUGUGUGAAAGGCGCGGGCUCAACCCGCGGACGGCACAUGAUACUGCGAGACUAGAGUAAGGGAGGGGGAACCGGAAGUCUCGGUGUAGCAGUGAAAUGCGUAGAUAUCGAGAGGAACACUCGUGGCGAAGGCGGGUUCCUGGACAGUAACUGACGCUGAGGCACGAAGGCCAGGGGAGCGAAAGGGAUUAGAUACCCCUGUAGUC
rnacentral:rRNA from 1 species